GCCGGGUGCGGUGGCGCGCGCCUGUAAUCCAAGUUACCGGGAGGCUGAGGCUGGAGGAUCGUUUGAGCUCAGGAGCUCUGAGCUGCAGCGGACUAUGCCGAUCGGGUGUCCGCGCUAAGUUCGGUAUCGAUAUGGUGCUCCUGGGGGAGCCCGGGACCACCAGGUCGUCUAAGGAGGGGUGCACCGGCCCAGGUCGGAGACGGAGCAGGUCAAAGCCCCCGUGCCGCUCAGUAGUGGGAUCGCGCCUGUGAAUAGACGCUGUAGUGCAGCCUGAGUAAUACAGCGGGACCCAGUCUUU
rnacentral:SRP_RNA from 1 species